rnacentral:rRNA from 1 species
UACGUAGGGUGCAAGCGUUGUCCGGAAUUAUUGGGCGUAAAGAGCUCGUAGGCGGUCUGUUGCGUCUGCUGUGAAAACCCGGGGCUUAACCCCUGGCUUGCAGUGGAUACGGACAGACUAGAGGUAGGUAGGGGAGAAUGGAAUUCCCGGUGUAGCGGUGAAAUGCGCAGAUAUCGGGAGGAACACCGGUGGCGAAGGCGGUUCUCUGGGCCUUACCUGACGCUGAGGAGCGAAAGCUAGGGGAGCAAACAGG